AUGGCAUUGGUGCAGACGUAUGGGAAGCCUGAUAUCUUUUUGACUAUGACAUGCAACCCUAGCUGGGAGGAGAUACUGAAUGAGCUGCUUCCAGGCCAGACUCCCCAAGACCGACCAGAUCUUGUCGCACGCGUGUUUAGGGCCAAGCCGGUAACCAUGAAAUAGAUGUUGUUCAAGAAGCACAUCCUAGGUGUUGUGGUAGCGCAUGUGUAUGUCGUCGAGUUUCAGAAGAGGGGCCUC
rnacentral:rRNA from 1 species